rnacentral:rRNA from 1 species
UGCCUAAAACAUAGUGUUAAUGCAUUGAAUCCCGUUAGAACUCUGUAGUUAAGUGUGCUUAGGCUAGAGUAGUAUUGGGAUGGGUGACAACGGAUUAAGUAUCAAAUUUUUUCUUUU